rnacentral:tmRNA from 2 species
GGGGCUGUUAUGGUUUCGACGGGAAUAUUGAAGCAUGAAUUGCAAGUCGUAGGUAUGCGUUAAAUCCAAAUUAAAAAUAACUGGAAACAGAAAUCAAUUAGCUUUCGCUUAAUUUAAGGAAGCUCAUCCUGUAUUUAUUUUCUUACGAUGAAUAUAAGGGUGUCAUAAAGUAAGAUAUAUUGUAUAUUUGAUUAGGGUAUAUAAUGAAAAUAACUAAUCUAGUUAAUAAUUUAUUUGUUUGUUUUUAUGUUAUUAAUGAAAUUUGUAAAUGAACUAAGCUUGUAGAGGUUUAUGUAGUCAUAUUUUCGGACAGGAGUUCGAAUCUCCUCAGCUCCACCA